GGGGAAUAUUGGACAAUGGGGGCAACCCUGAUCCAGCCAUGCCGCGUGAGUGAUGAAGGCCCUAGGGUUGUAAAGCUCUUUUGUGCGGGAAGAUAAUGACGGUACCGCAAGAAUAAGCCCCGGCUAACUUCGUGCCAGCAGCCGCGGUAAUACGAAGGGGGCUAGCGUUGCUCGGAAUCACUGGGCGUAAAGGGUGCGUAGGCGGGUCUUUAAGUCAGGGGUGAAAUCCUGGAGCUCAACUCCAGAACUGCCUUUGAUACUGAAGAUCUUGAGUUCGGGAGAGGUGAGUGGAACUGCGAGUGUAGAGGUGAAAUUCGUAGAUAUUCGCAAGAACACCAGUGGCGAAGGCGGCUCACUGGCCCGAUACUGACGCUGAGGCACGAAAGCGUGGGGAGCAAACAGGA
rnacentral:rRNA from 1 species